UGGCGGAUUGAUUUGUCUGGUUGAUUCCGAUAACGAACGAGAUCUCCGCAAGAUACCUGGUCUGAAAGGGUCAUUUCCCUUCUCAGUCAGUUUCUGGACAGUGCAUGGCAAGUGCAAGGAAGUGGAGGCAAUAACA
rnacentral:rRNA from 1 species